UACGUAGGGGGCGAGCGUUGUCCGGAUUCAUUGGGCGUAAAGAGCUCGUAGGCGGCAUGGUUAGUUGGGUGUGAAACCUCCAGGCUUAACCUGGAGACGCCACUCAAUACUGCCAUGGCUAGAGUCCGGUAGGGGACCACGGAAUUCCUGGUGUAGCGGUGAAAUGCGCAGAUAUCAGGAGGAACACCGGUGGCGAAGGCGGCAUCCUGGACCGGCAUUGACGCUGAGGCGCGAAAGCCAGGGGAGCAAACGGG
rnacentral:rRNA from 1 species